CAAAAGCUGAAUUUCCCCCCAUGUAGGGGGAGAAAGAGAAGGAAAGAAAGAAAGGAGCCUCCCCGCUCCACCACCAGCACACCCUCCUUUUCGCAUGGAUCGCCUUUCUCCGAGUGUUUCCUCUUUAAUUAUGCCCCGUCUCCCCCCCUCUCCCCCCGCCCCAGCUUCAGUGAAAGGAGCCCUUCUGUCACUCGUCACUCGCUCCCUGGCUCGCUCGCGCGCUGGCUGUGGGAGGAGCCGCCGGAGGAAGCUGGGUGCCUCGGAUGCCGAGCGCCAGAGGAUGGAGCUGCUCCGAGAGGGGACGUCGCUGACGAGCCCGGCUUCCUGAGGCGGCUAGAAAACAGGCAACUUGCCUCGUCUGGGCUGCGGAUCCCCCGAGGCACGGAGCCCCAGGCCACCCGGAGGGACCGACGGACAGACAGACAGAUGGUCGGCGCGAACCCGGGAGGACCGCGGCGGAGGCUGAGCAGCACCGCGAGCCGCCCAGCAGGAGAAACUCACCGCGAACCCAAGUUGCCCCGCCGGCUUCCCCUUGGCGCGCGGAGGAAUGAGACCUUUCCAGCUCGACCUGCUCUUCGUCUGCUUCUUCCUCUUCAGCCAAGGCUCUGCAUGGAUAUCACCUCCUCAGGAGCUUUCUUUCCCUCUUUUCUGUGAAUUACCCGCAUCUUAGGACUUGCCACACCACACUGAAUGGUGAGUAUGUUUUCCCCUGUAGUAAUAACCCCCUCUCCCUGGAAGACUGGUGGUUCUAAAGCUAGAAAAUCUAUCUUCUCUCUCCUUCCCCUGUGCCCAUGGGAAGCACUGAGCAACUGUUUAUUGACUAAGUGCAUAAAGCGAGUGCCCCUUGACCACACGAAUGUCCGCUGGCACUUCUACCCCCAACAUGGUUUUCACAGUUAAGUGGCUUCCUUGGCACCUGAGCACCCUCUUCUGUCCAAGCAGAAGUGUGCUGUGUUCUGAGCCUGGUCCUGCAGUGAGUGGUCACAGAGCAGGUUCUCAGACACCUCUGCUCCAAGUGACUCCGUCCCAUCAGAGGUCUGUUCCAAGGAUGUGGCAGGGUGUUUCUGUGUCUGGUACGAUGCUCAAAAGCACAUCUCAUCACAUCCUGUUAGAGCUGAAGGGACCUUAGAAGUCAUCAAGCCACACCCACUGUUUUUUUACAUAGAAGAGAGAACUGUGUCCCAGAGAGGUCAGUCCCUUUCCUAAGGUCACACAGCAAGCCUGCUGGCAGACCGCAGCUGAAAACUCCCUCUCGUAUCCCUGCCNNNNUCCUGUUGCAAAGUGCUGUUGUGUACGAUUCCUGAUCCAUGGGCUCCUGGGAGCCUUCUCCUGGAAUCAUGUGAGCAAAAGUGGUGCAGUCUUAUAAAUGGGCUAAACAAAUAUAUAUGACAGCGUACUCAUCUCAGAGCAGCUUUCUUUAGGAGGAGCUUAGCGUAUUUAAUAAGGUGCUUGUAAACAGGAGCAAUUUAGAUAGUUUCUCCAGCUCACUGUUAGCAUUUAUACGUGCCCCAUUUCAUCUGUAAUCUGCUUUUACAAGGCACUGGUGAGCCUUUGAUGGCAGCAAUGAAUGACCCAGACGGCUUCAUCCCAAAUGUUCAAACCGAGCUGAAAAUUUGGGCGAAUCUAAGGUAUUCAUCUCCAUAAAAAAAAAAAUCCAAACACAUUGACUCAAAUUGCUGUUCUCCAUCCAGAUACAUUAACUUUUUCUUCCUUCUCCCUUUCUUUCUUUUGCAUUUCGCCAUUACUGUGUUCUGGUUAUGGCCCACAUCUGGAGCACGGCAGCUGUCCUGUAAUGUGCAAGCUGCGGUGUGUAAUUUGGAAAACUUGAAUACAAAUAUCUGUUAAUUAAAAAAAAUACAGAAGCAUGUUUGUCAGCUUGUAAUUAUGUAAAGAAGAACACCAACUCCCAAACUAAUUUAAAAAGCAAAAUGAAAAUAACUUUACCAGUGGCUUUGCAGACUCCAACAACUCCGCAUUUAGCCGUUAUGUUUCUUCCAAGUAUCCCAGCUUCCUUNNNNNNNNNNNNNNNNNNNNNNNNNNNNNNNNNNNNNNNNNNNNNNNNNNNNNNNNNNNNNNNNNNNNNCUGAACUGACAGGUCACUCGAUUCUGUUACUUGCCCCUUAUGGUAAGUGGAGGGCAGGGUUUCUCAACCUCAGUGUGGUUGAUAUAUGGGGCUGGAGUCUCUAUGGUGUUGGGUUGCCCCAUGUAUUAUAGGAUGUUCAGCAGCAUCUCCACCUGUGCUCCCUAGAGGCCAAUAACACCCACCCAUUCCCCAGUGAUGACAGACAAAAUGGCCCCAGACUUUGCCAAAUACCCCUGGAGAAGGACUGGGGAAGAAAUCGCCCUUAGCUGAAAAGCAGUCGUUUUUCAUUUUCUGUUUAAUACGAACAACACAGGACUCGGCCUGAGAAGACUCGUGUUGCUGUGGACACUUCAUUCCAAUUAUAUGACCCUGGCUGAAUCUCCGGGCUUUUCUUGACACCGGCUUCCCCAUCUCUAUGAUGAUGGGUUUCUGUGAAGGUCAAGUGGGAUGUGGAAGGUUUUCAGAUGUAGAAAAGGGCAUAGUGAAGGCGUUUUUUAAAUCAUUUUUAUUAUUAUUCUCACGAGAUGGCUCCUGAGGUGAAACUUUGGAGGAGGCCAAGGAGUAGCUUUGCGCAGUGGAAAGAGAUUCCCUGGGAGGACUUUGGCCUGGUUAGCACAGAGCACGGUCUUGACCUUGACCUGUUAGCAGAGAGCUCUCACGCUCUCUGAGGCUGGGGUCGCAGGUUGGGCUUGUGGUGUUCUUUGGUGUUUCUGUGGGCAUCAUUGUAAGAGCACUGGGCAAAGAAAAUUGCUGAGGAGCAGCUGAUGAAGCUGGGAUAAUUUUACAGACACCAGAGGAAGGGCUGAAAGGGGGGACUCCAGGCCCCUCACCAUGCCCUCCCUCCUCCCUGAAACGGCUUGCUGUUGUACAGUCACUCAAUCGGGUCCAACUCUUUGCGACCCCAUGGACUGCAGCACGCCAGGCUUCCCNNNNNNNNNNNNNNNNNNNNNNNNNNNNNNNNNNNNNNNNNNNNNNNNNNNNNNNNNNNNNNNNNNNNNNNNNNNNNNNNNNNNNNNNNNNNNNNNNNNCGACCCCAUGGACUGCAGCACGCCAGGCUUCCCUGUCCUUCACCACCUCCGGGCGUUUGCUCAAGCUCAUGUCUGAUGCGUCGAUGAUGCCAUCCCACCGUCUCAUCCUCAGUCGCCUCCUCCUUCUCUGGAACAGGUUAAGAGGUCGGUGUUUGACCUACUCAGGCUGCUGUGAGGUGGUGUAAACACCAGGCUUCAGGUCGGAGAACGUCUCAGAACCUUUUCUAACGGUCUUUGAAUAGCAGAGAGAUUGUCAGCUGUCCGAGUGGAUAAGACAGGCAGGUGGAUGGAUGACAUAAUCACACAAGGGCCUUUCCAGCUCAAGAAGUCCAGGAUUCUGGGUUCAAGGCUAGGCAUUCUGGAACCCAAACCCUCCCCUGAUUCAUCCACAGAUUUCUGGGGGGAGACAAUGAUCUGGAAGCAGCUGCCACUCACGAAGGACAGCUCUGUGCAGGAAGAAGUGUACUGAGCCCUUUAGGUUUAUCAUCUCACUUAACCUUCCAGACAGGCAUAAUUCCCAUUUCCAAAUGGGAAAGCUGAGAUGUUUACAGAUGAAGUAACAUUAAAGGAAGGGCUCCCCUGGUGGUGCAGUNNNNNNNNNNNNNNNUGCCAGCGCAGGAGACAUGGGUUCGAGCCUAGGACCGGGAAGAUCCCCUGAAGGAGGGCAUGGAAACCCACUCCAGUAUUCUUGCCUGAGAAGGCCUAUGGACAGAGGAGCCUAGUGGACUUCAGUCCAUGGGUUUGCAAAGAGGAGGACACGACUAAACAACUAAACAGCAACAACAUAACGCCAAGCAGGGAUGCGUUGUUUGUGAUAGCAAACCCAUCAGCAUCUCAUCCAGGUCAAUGAGGGGAAGAGUNNNNNNNNNNNNNNNAGACUUCAAGUUCGCAGGCACCUGCGCUAGGAAGGCCAAAGGGCUGCCACUCACAGAUGGAAUGGGUAGGUCCCAGCCUGGCCGGGCUCCUCUGCUGAGCACUUGACCCUGCGGCUAAGCUUUGAAGGCCAAACAUUACAGGAGGGUUUAGGAGGAUACCGUAAUGUUGAAAAUAAAAAAUAAAAUAAAAACAGGAGGGAGAAGCUGACAGCUUGACUAGAGCACACACAGUCGAUACACUCGAGAUAACAAUUUCUGCACAACAGUGCCUUGCUUACCCAGACCCCCAGGAGACGCGGCUGCUCUGACAAUCGGCAGGAAUUCUGACUCGCUACAGAUCUUUUCAUCUUCUGCCUGCUUUUUCAUUUUACCUUAUUAAAUAUUAAACCCUGUAAACACUUUCAUUUGUGUGCGCCAUAUUGUCAGUCAAAUUACCCUUCUGUAACAGGGAGUGAGUGCUAAGUCGCUUCAGAUGUGUCUUAACUCUUUGUGACCCCAUGGGCUAUAGCCCGCCAGGCUCCUUUGUCCUGGGAGAGGGAUUCCCCAGGCAAGAAUACCGGAAUGAGUUGCCGUGCCCUCCUCCAGGGGAUCUUCCCGACCCAGAGAUCAACCCCCUGUCCCUCGUGUCUCCUGUAUUGGCAUGCAAAUUUCUUACCGCUAGCGCAACCUGGGAAGCCCUUUCAGAUCAUAUUGGUAUCUCUUCCCCAGGCCAUUCCAAAACCCCACAGCAGAAUCAAACAAGGAUGGACCUGAACUGCUGAUAAGACCCCUGAAUUUUUUUUUCAGACCCUGACAUCAGCUAACUAUGUAUAUCUAUUCAAGUCAAAUUGUUUUCUUUCCAAGCAAACAGCAUGGAUGUGAAGAUCCCCUCCUUCCUUCCAACAGAUUUAAAGGCAUAUUGGAAUAACUUUGAAACUUCAAAAUUCUAGAAGUGGAGCCCCAUCAAGUCAGGGACCUGUCUGUGGAUUAGACAAGAGCAAGUCAUGAUGGUGAUUGCAGCCAUGAAAUUAAAAGACGCUUACUCCUUGGAAGAA
ensembl:lncRNA